rnacentral:lncRNA from 1 species
GAAUAAGAAGGUGGUAUAAUUGUAUUAUGAUGAGAGUACCUGCCCUUUGCCCAAGGUUGGCCGCGGGCAGGGACCUGAAUUAGGAAACCUGGGUGACUGCCCUACAUGACUUCCCUGCCCCCAGCCCUGGAAGGCCUGAGACUCGGCCUCUGUAAAAAGCCAGGCUGGAACGCUUCCCUCUUUUGAAACGUUUGUGGGUGAAUGAAUGUCAACACUCAGGUUAAAAGCAGGGUGUGUUUAAACACACACUGGGAACAUCAGCCCCCACCCUGCUCCUAAGGAGAGGAGUAAGGUCUCCUGACUGCAUUUGUGUCAAGGUUAGCAUGGCUCCCAGGAAGGAUCUGGGAAGGUGAAGCCAGGUGUGACCGUCAGCACUGAAGAGUGGCCAAGGAAGCUUCUUAAAGUCCCGGGCUUAAGAUUCCUGCCCUUGCUUCCUAGAGGGAAGAUGAAAAGCCAUCCCAUGUUCCUCUCUUAGCGCUCCUUAUCUACUCCAUAGUGACAUCAAUAAACAAUAAAAUCACAGGCUCCAGAUUAAGUAAAUCCAUUUUCCUUGCAUGUGGUACAACACAGUUUGAAAAUAAAAAACAAAUCAAAUGCUCUGAAAGCAAAAUACAUGCAAAUUAAGGUUUGAAGAAAUCUGUCAGCAUCUGAGCAUUUUAUUUUGCUUUCUUCUCACCUUUAAAUUAAACUAGCACCGUUUUCUGAAGCUUAGAUGUGAAUCACAGCCCCUUCUGGAAUGAAUGAUGGUGGCUUGUGGCCUGACCUAAGUAGAUGACCCCACACAAGCAGGAGGAGAGGCUCUCCUCCAAUGAGGUAGGGGCUGCUGAGGACACAGCCUCUUGAGAGCAGACUGCCAGAUGUUGAAGUGCCCAGGUGAGGAUGCCAGGAGCCAAGGAAAUGAGAACAGACACCUGCAGAGUCUAUUUUUCCUUUUGAUGAGCCCAUCAUUGUAUUUUUUAAGUUGUGUUAUUGUUCUCUACAGCUCUGAUUAGACCCCUAGCCUGGGAACCUCCAUAUGCCACAGGAGUGGCCCAUGAAAUGUCAAAAAAGACCAAAAAAAAAAAAAAAAUCUUAAAUGGUACUAUAGUGUAUAAUUAAGAGUGUGGGCUUAGGACUAGAGGGUGCUGGUUGAGACCCUUGUCCCUAGAAGUUUGACCUUGGGAAAAGUUACUUAAAUCCUCUGAACUACAGUUUCCUUUCUUAUCAUUUGGGGACAGUAACACCCAACACUUGGGGGUUUGCAUCAGGUCAUAUGAAAUAAUAUAUGAAAUGGAUUUAGCAAAGUGGCACAUGGUAAGCUUAUUAUUAAUGAAAAGUCGUCCAGUUAUCUCAAAGGAGAAGUCAGAGGCCUUAGAAUAAGCACAGACCCUUGUGGUGGACACUCGUUCUUUCCUUGUGACUCUGGAAUUUCAUGGAUGUUUGUUCGGAAGCUUUUCCCCCAGCAGUUGCAGAAGAGGCUAAGAGAGCCUGGCCAGACCUGGGGCUGCCCCAUGAUGGUCAGACCCUGUUGUAUCUGUGCUCAUUCUCUGUCUCCUGGCUUCCUGGAGGGAGGAGAGGGGAGAAGAAUCUGGUGGUGUACUAAGCCCACAUAAGGGAGUCAUUUGUAGUCAGGCCCCACAGAUGGGACCAGACAUACCCACCUCACAUAGAGAGUAUUCAUUUUUGAGAGAGUUGGACAUUUCACUUGGCAAUGCCCAAACUUUGGCUGUCAAGGAUUACUGGAAGUGACCCUUUGAAGAACAUAGUGAAGUAAGCAGAAAAGCUACUCUCAGCUAGAGCGAAUGGCCCAGGGCCCCCGAUCCAACCUAGGGGUGAAGGCUUUAGUAGGCAUCUCAGGCCCUCUGGCCCCAUAGCUCUGUUUAAAGUCUGUCAGCUCCAGGGCUGGAACAUCUGGGCCUGGACUCUAUGGCUCCCUGGGCUUCCUCCUGGAGCCCACAGGGUGAAACCCAUUUGCACCCUCUGCUUCACAAGGAGAAUCCAGGGAGGGUCUCUCCCACCUCCAGGACCUGGGGGAUUAAAUUUUGUUACUCAUUCCUGGCACAUUUCCCAGGCUGAGUAUCACUUUUCCGAUGGCAUCAGGGCCAAAUUCUUUUUGCUGCCAUAAAGUAUACCCUUAGAGCCUUCUAGCAACAUCCCUUUAAACCCAGCUGUUCAGCUUGGUUAUUUUCCAUGAUCACACUUUGAGAUUUUUAUUUCCAAAAUCUCCUUGGAAAUUAUCUAGCUGUUAAAUUAAGGGGGGGGGGCAUUUUUUUGCUGUUUUGUUUGCAGAAGUAAACAAUUGAAGUGGAGGACAAGGAACCAAGCAAUUUUGCAGAAAGUUCUGAAUUUUAGUCUAACUAAAAAGUCUCCUUUAUUUUGAGGAACAGGAAGGACCUGUCCUUCCAUCUGCUGCUCUGCACAGGUGCCCCCACGCAGAGGAUGCUGGGUUUUCUGUAGGUGAAGGUGGAGCCUGUUCUCUGUCUCCUCUCCCAACUGUGUCUUGGAGGUUUGCUUUCAUUCCCUCGCUCAGUCUCCACCCCCUGGCUUUGCUGUUCUCUUCUUGACUUUCCUCGGUGGCUUUCUGUAGUCUGCAGUUUAUUUCUCUAACAUCACUGUUUCUGCUUCUCCCUUCUUUCCUUUGUGUCUCUAUUUUUCUGGUUUGCUAAGUAUCUCUACUGUUUGUUUGUUUUUGUUUUUGUUUUUUCACUAGCCAAUGCCCAGAAAACCAGUUCCUUGAGAAGCAUGUUGUUCUGAACCCCUUCCCCAUUUCAGAUCUUCUCCUGAAGCCGCCCUUGUUUCUCCAGAGAAACAGGCAUAAGCAUUCACAGCUCACUUUUUGUUUAAUACUGUAGCUCCUUCCAAAGAAAGAAGAAAUUUGGGAAGCACGGCAGCUCCACUUUUCCUUGUCCUCCAGCUGCCAGCAAUCUCAGCAGAACUCAGAACACCCCAGGGUUUCAGGUCUCUUAAACUCCUUAGAUCUGCAGUUUCAGGAAGUUUGCCCCAGGUGGCUGAAAACAUCAACCAAAUCCUCUCCCCUCCAACUUCAUUUUUUUUUUUUUUUCUUGGAAGGAGGGAUGGGGGAAUCCACCCUGAAAUAUUUAUCUAGGCAGUUUGUUCUUCCUAAGUAAAAGCACACUCUAGGCACUGUGGUCAAGUGACCUGUACUCGCUCACUCGCUCACUGAUUUGGUGAGUAUUUGCUGCACACCCCCUGCGUGUCCGGCAUGCUGUGAGGCUCUGGGGAGCCAGUGGAGAAUAUACUGGGCUCUGCAGGAACUGUCCCGUCUGCCUGUCGACCUGGGGGUGGAAGUUCAGGCAGGGAUUUGGCCUUUUACAGCAUCAGUAUUCUUGCGGGCCCAUUAGUGUCCCAUUGUUCUCAUUUUCCUGCCAAUACUUGAGAUGCAAGAGGCAGCGCAUGUUUUUCUGAGGAUUUUAUUUCAUCUGCCCAGGAUGAACAAGUCCCAGCCAAUCCUUCCCUCCACCCUGCCUCUUGGUCUUCCUCAUUCUUCUCUCCCCAGCACCCUUGGUAGCUCCAAUAGCCAAAGACUGGCUGGACUCUAGCGCAUUCAUGGAGAGUUUUUUUUCAAGGUUGGGUGAAGUGGAGAAGGAAGGGGGAUGGAGACCACAAUGGCUGAGUUGCUGUGUCAGGCGCUGUGCCCUAUGGUUUUACAAAUUAGUGUCAUUUAACCCUGUUCUCAGCCUACCUGUAAGAUAGAUAAUAUCAUUCUCACGGUGAUGAAGAAGAAAUGGACGUUCAGAAAAGGUCAGACAGAUUGUCCAAGAGUAGACAUUUAGUAUAUCAUGGAACUGUGCCUAGAUCCCAGGACCAUCUGAAUCCAAAAGUCAGGUUCUUUCCUCUACAGCCUCGUGUGUGUGUGUGUGUGUGUGUGUGUGUGUGAACGCUUGUGCAUGUGCACAUGUGUGUGUUCAGGGAGAGGAUGAACUGAGCAGAAUGAAUCAUCCCGGUUUCUUUUUUUCCCACCUUGCAUCUUGGACCUGAAAAAUGCCUUUCCAUCCUGCUGCUGAUCAGGAUGCAGCCACGUGUCAGGGACAGAUGAGGCAUUAAGAAACGAGGUCUCUGGCUGCCUCCCCAGAAGGACUUCUAUUCACUUGCACAUGGCUUCACAGGCUCCAGAGCCAGACUCUUUCAUUUGCUAGCUGUUACCUUGGGCAAGUUUCUUACACUGUGUGUACUUCAGUUUCCUCUUCUGUAAAGGGGAUAAUAAUAAAAAUAUUGUCCUCAUUCCUGGAGUAGUCACAUUCGUAGAGACAGAAGGCAGAAUGGUGUUUGCCAGGGACUGGAGAGGGAUGGAAAGUUGUCGAAUGAAUACAGGGUUUCAGUGGGGAGGAUGAAAACAUCGGAGGUAGAUGGUGGUGGGGAUGGUUGCACAAGAGUAUGAAUGUAUUAAAUGCACUGAAUUGAAAACAGUCAAGACGGUAAGUUUUAUGUUACAUGUAUUUUACCGCACAAAAAAAGGGUACUUUCCUUAAAGGAUGUGGGGGAAGCUUGAGUGAGCUGGUGUAUGUUAAACCCUUAGAAUAGAGCCCAUAGUAAAUGCUUCGUUAAAAGGAGCUCUUAUCCGCUCCAGCCCUUGGCUUUCCCAGAGGGGUCCGCAGAGCCAAGGACAGAGCCUUGCAGGGCACUUCUGUCACCUGGCUUGGGGUUGCCAUGAGAAGGGGGUCUCACAGCCAGUGUCUGGAGCAGUUUGUGGUUGGGCAGCAGUCAGGACAGGGGCUGGUGACUGUGCAUUUGAAUGGAAGAGCCCCUGCUGCCCGUGAGAAGCAUUAAGUUCUAAUUGGAACACUGCUUGCUAAAUUGCCCCAUUUUGCACAGACUCACACCAUGAGGUGCAGGAGGGUCUGAGGCCAGGCUGAAUUUGGUGGUUAAGCCAAAACAAACCCAGGGACGAAAGCAUCCAAAUAAGUGGCAUCGACAUGGUAUAGCUGACGAGAUAAUAGUGUUUUAAUGUUUUCACUGGCCUUGCCCACAGAUAUUUACGGCGUGUCUCUGGGAAAGGGAGAAUGCAGAAUGCCUAGAGCUCAGCUCAGAGAACAGCAAGGUGGCACGGAACGGAACGGAGAAGGGAGAGCAGAUACCCCCCACCCCCACCCCCGUGUCAUGCUGGAUCUGGGGACAGGAGUGCCCUCAGACUCCCUGGCUGGAAUUGUCCCCAAACAGCCCUGUUCACUUCAGAACAGUAAUGGUUAUUGUGUGAUGCACAGAGGCCUCUGAGAGCUCAGGAGGAAGCAGACAACCCAGCCCAGGGCAGGGAGCAGUCGGGGAAAAGAACUUCCCCGUCCCUUUUCCAGCCUCCAGGGACCCUUCCUAGUCCACCGCGGCCUCCACGCUCCCCCAGUUCUGAACCCCGAGGACCCUUCCCCUGCGCAGACAGCUCUCCCAGGCCCUUCUAGCUCGGGGCCCUAAGACUUAAGGUCUCUUCUAGUGCUUCCCAACCUCUCUGUGGUGGUGAAAGACCAGGUUUCUGUUCUAUUUUGGUUUUAAUUUCCAAUCCAUUGUGAACAAAUACUUUUAUAAAAUGCAGUGAGAUUAAUCACUGAACUCAUUUAACAAAUAAAGAAGCAACAAAUACAAAAUACAAGGCCACUUUUACAUUUAUGAUGUCCGGCAGACAUGAAUUUCCCUCGUCAAAUUGCUGUAAGAUUUCUAGAUGCUUACUCUCCAUUUCCGUGCCUCUCGCGGCACAGACUGGCCACAGAAUGGCUGUGUGUGCGCCGACUCCCUGGGGCCCACUUUGCAUUCCUUCCACUCACUGCCUUAGGUUGCUGGUCCCCAGGAUGGGGUGCCACUGGGGUACAGGACGAAAAUACUGGCACCUCUUUAUAUUUCUAUUGUAUCCUCUUUUUUUGGUAUUUGAAUUUCUUGUUUUUUAAAUUGAGAUAUAAUUAUUAUACAACACUAUGUUAGUUCCAGGUGUACACAUAGUGGUUGGAUAUUUUUACGUAUUACAAAGUGAUCACCGCUGUAAGUCUAGUUACCAUCUGUCACCAUACAGUUAUUCUAAUAUUAUUGACUAUGUUCCAAUGCUGAACAUUUUAUCCCCCCAAUUUAUUUUAUAACUGGGGGAUUUUGUACCUCUUAAUCCCAUUCACCUAUUUCACUCAUGCCCUCCACCUGCAACUCGGGCAACCACCUGUUUGUUUAAUUUAUCUGUAAGUCUGUAUCUGUUUUGUUUGUUCAUUUUUUUUGUUCUUUUAGAUUCCAAAUAUAAGUGAAUUCAUAUGGUAUUUGUCUUUCUCUAUCUGACUUAUUUCACUUAGCAUAAUGCUCUUGAGGUCCGCUCUUGUUACAAGUGACAAGAUCCCAUCCCUUUUUAUGGCUAAGUAAUAUUCCAUUGUGUGUGUGUGUGUGUGUGUGUGUGUGUGUGUGUGUGUGUGUGUGUGUGUGUGAUCUUCUUUAUCCAUUCAUCUACGGAUGACACUUCAGUUGCUUCCAUAUCUUGCCGCUUGUAAAUGAUACUGCAGUGACCAUAGUACAUAUAUCUUUUCAAAUUAGUGCUUUCAUUUUCUUCAGAUAAAUACCCAGGAUUUGAAUUGCUGGAUCAUGUGGUAGUUCUGUUUUUAAUUUUUUGAGGAAUUUCCAUACUGUUUUUCAUAAUGGCUGUACCAAUUUGCAUUCCCACUAAAAGCGCACAAGGGCUUCCUUUUUUUCUACAUUUUUGCCAAUGCUUGUUAUUUGUUGUCUUUUCUAGAACUGACAUUCCAACAGGUAUGCAGUGAUAACUCAUUGUGGCUUUUAUCUGUAUUUCCCUGGGGAUUAGUGAUGUUGAGCAUCACUUCAUGUGUCUGUUGACCACUUGUAUAUCCUCUUUCAAAAAAUGUCUGCUUAGGCCCUCUGCCCAGUUUUUAAUCAGGUGGGUUUUUUUUUUAAUUUUGAAUUGUAUUAGUUCUUUGUAUAUUUUGGAUAUUAACCCAUUGUCAGAUAUAUUAUUUACAAAUAUCUUCUCCCAUUCAGUAGGCAGCCUUUUCUAUCACAUCCUCUUUCAAUUUUUAUUUUUGUGUAUAUUUGAAGGCACAAUAGUAAAAUAAGACAUAUAUAAUUAAUUUACUUAUAGCAUGUUCUAUAUUAUAUAAAUUAUAUACAGUGAGUUGUGCACGGAAUCUUUUUACUGAGGGAAUUAUGUGAUAAAAAAUAUUUGAAGUCUACAGCCCUCAACUCCCCGUGUGAAAGUUAUUAUUGUUAUCUCUCUUUGAGGCAUCUUUUGUCUUGUAUUGACCUCCUGUUAUUUAAGAUUUCAUGUAUUUGUGCCUGUCCUAAAAUUAUAAUAAAACUAUAAAUUUUUUGAGAGGAGGAGCUACACCUUAUUUAGGCUUACUUAUUGAGCUGAGAAAAGCAUGAAUUCAAUGCCAAUCAAUGUGCUAGGAUAUGGGAAUACUAAGAUGCCUAGGAAUUAAUCUCCAUUCUCUAAAAGUGAGCCUGUCUAAGCUGAGGACAGCCAAUUUACAAACUAAUAAUUUCACUUAGUGUAACAUGGGCAAUCCAGUAAGCAUGUGUAGGUAACCAACUUGAGGCAUAAAGAGUGGUUAAUUCUCUUGGAGGUGAUUCUCAGAAUCCACCCAGAGGAACUGAGAAGAUAUUGAGGGAUAACCAGGGUCUGCGUGGAUGACAGAGGAGGCAGGAUAUUUUGGCUAAUAUUAGUACACGAAAAGGCAUACCCUAAAUGUCCAUCAACAGAUGAAUGUAUUAAGAUGUGGUAUAUAUACACAAUGGAAUACUACUCAGCUGUAAAAAAGAACAAAAUAAUGCCAUUUGCAGCAGCAUGGAUGGAACUAGAGACUCCCAUACAAAGUAAAGUAAGUCAAAAAGAGAAAGAGAAAUACCAUAUGAUAUCACUUAUAUCUGGAAUCUAAUAUACAGCACAAAUGAACCUUUCCACAGUAAAGAAAUGCAUGGACUUGGAGAACAGACUUGUGGUUGCCAGGGGGAAUGGGGAGGGAGUGGGAUGGCCUGGGAGCUUGGGGUUAAAAGAUGCACACUAUUGUAUUUGGAGUGGACCAGCAAUGAGAUCCUGCUGUAUAGCACAGGGAACUAUAUCUAGUCACUUAUGAUAGAACAUGAUGGAGGAUAAACUGAGAAAAAGCAUGUGUGUGUGUGUGUGUGUGUGUGUGUGACUGGGUCACUUUGCUGUACAGUAGAAAAUUGACAGAACACUGUAAACCAACCA